UACAGAGGAGCCAAGCGUUGUCCGGAUUGACUGGGCGUAAAGCGCACGCAGGCGGUUGCGCGCGUGGGGUGUGAAAUCUGGCCGCUUAACGGCCAGGCGCCAUCCCAUACGGCGCGACUGGAGUGAUGCAGAGGUCGAUGGAAUUGCCGGUGUAGUGGUGAAAUGCGUAGAUAUCAGGAGGAACACCAAUGGCGAAGGCAGCUCGCUGGAACGGUACUGACGCUGAGGCGGCGAAAAGCGUGGGGAGCGAACAGG
rnacentral:rRNA from 1 species